GGGCAGGCUGUUCUGCCUGCUCUCCACGGUCGUCACCUCCGCCCACGUCACCUGCAAGCCGGUCCUGAGCGGAGAGAGGCUAG